CUACGGGAGGCACCAGUGAGGAAUAUUGCACAAUGGGGGGAACCCUGAUGCAGCAACGCCGCGUGGAGGAUGACGCAUUUCGGUGUGUAAACUCCUUUUAUAUGUCAAGAAAAUGACGGUAGCAUAUGAAUAAGCACCCGCUAACUCCGUGCCAGCAGCCGCGGUAAUACGGAGGGUGCAAGCGUUACUCGGGAUCACUGGGCGUAAAGGACGCGUAGGCGGGUUGGAAAGUCAGGUGUGAAAUCCUACAGCUUAACUGUAGAACUGCACUUGAAACUUCUAAUCUAGAGUAUGGGAGGGGGAGAUGGAAUUAGUGGUGUAGGGGUAAAAUCCGUAGAUAUCACUAGGAAUACCUAAAGCGAAGGCGAUCUCCUGGAACAUUACUGACGCUAAGGCGUGAAAGCGUGGGGAGCAAACAGGAUUAGAUACCCCUGUAGUC
rnacentral:rRNA from 1 species